ACGCUCGACACCUACGAGAGGCAGCAGUGGGGAAUAUUGCACAAUGGGGGAAACCCUGAUGCAGCGACGCCGCGUGGAGGAAGAAGGUCUUCGGAUUGUAAACUCCUGUUGUUGGGGAAAAAGAGGAUGGUACCCAACAAGGAAGUGACGGCUAACUACGUGCCGGCAGCCGCGGUAAUCUGAGCGGGCUGGCAAGGC
rnacentral:rRNA from 1 species